UACGGAGGAUGCGAGCGUUAAUCGGAAUCACUGGGCGUAAAGCGCACGUAGGCGGCUUGGUAAGUCAGGGGUGAAAUCCCACAGCCCAACUGUGGAACUGCCUUUGAUACUGCCAGGCUUGAGUACCGGAGAGGGUGGCGGAAUUCCAGGUGUAGGAGUGAAAUCCGUAGAUAUCUGGAGGAACACCGGUGGCGAAGGCGGCCACCUGGACGGUAACUGACGCUGAGGUGCGAAAGCGUGGGUAGCAAACAGG
rnacentral:rRNA from 1 species